GGAAUACUCAGUGGAACGCAGAAUUGAAGAUUGAAAGAAGUAGAGUCCUGAUGGCCGGCAUUUGCAGCCUGAAAAGAAACAUAUGUUCUCGAGAUUAUUGAAUCUCUUCUGAGACAUGGAUCGGCCCAUCUGAAGCUUAGAUUGACACCACACCCAUACCCCUGCAUGGAUUGAGCACCUUCACCCAUUUCUCAGCCUGAAGCAGCUAAGAUUGAGACCAUCGCCAGUGCUCCUGAUGUAAUUUGGACUGAUAUGGGGGAAGUGGGAAAGUGGUUGAUGAAUUAUUGUUAAAAUUACAACUCUAUUACUAGAGUUAGAAAAAAAUGCAAACAUUACUGUGUGUUUAAGAUUUGGGAUGGAAAUUAUUAAAAUUGGUAACUGUUGCUGUUAAAGAAGCUAUAAAAUGUUUAUAAUAUCUAUGUUCACUUCAGAAUAUGUAAUUGUUUAAGGUAUUUGAUUUGAUUUGAUUUGAUUGAUUUUAGGAAACUCCUCCUGUACUAGACUGCUAUGUAUGUAGAAACUUUAAUUCACUCUUGGGAUUUAUAUGUGGAUGGUAAUUUGACUAUUUAUUAUUAUUUUUUUUUGGAUGAUUCCUUUCCAUGAGGAAAAAAAAAGGAGAGGAAGAGAUAGGGAACUAGGGAAACUGGUGGAUUUUUCUCAAAAUACCUAAAAGAGUGGGAACCCUUAGUUUUCUUUCACUUUUGCCUUUUGUACUUCUGCCCCAUCCCCUAUACCACCAGUUCAGAUUAAAUUGGAAGUCCUUAAGCAAUCUUUUUUGUUUUUACUAUGUUUUAGCUUUGAAACCCCUCAUUCUGUGGAAUUGCCCUGGCAGACUCAGUUUUGGGAACUAUUCUAUUUUUAAGAAAUCUCCAAGAUAAAGACACUUGUCUUGGGACUGGCAAUCUCCAGCCCUGUCACCCCAAUUUCUUAACUGGUACCUCAGCAUUUUUAAUAACAUUGCCCUUUUGAGAUCAAGCCUCUAAAAUUUGGGGUUUGCCUGCCUUCAUGUUUUAACUGUGCAUGCUCUGAAAGCUCUGCUCAAAAAUCUGUAUUCCAGUAGCAGCCCUGUCUGUCCCCCUGGGUGGGGACAGGUGGAGCUACUCUAAGCCUCACCCUUCUCCCCUAGAGUGGGUUGCCCCUCUGAAUGGGCAGCAUGACUGUCUCGAGCCCUGCUACUCCCUUUAUAAGCAGAAGCUGAGUUAAGUGCACAAAUGACUGCAGACCACCUAACACAGUGAACUGUCCAUCUCAAACUGGAUUCUCUGGCUGAGAUGAGGGCCUUUGUACUGCUGAUAACUCUAGGGUUGUCAGGAAGAGACUUGCCCUUGCCAUAAGUCCUUGCAUUUUCUAGUUUCAUUUUGAUUUAUUUGCCUCAUAUUGGGUUGGUCAAAAUUAUGGUGCUGAGACCUCCCAGGUUUCUAGGGAAGGUAAUUCAAUAAUUCAAAUAUUCAGAAGAAGAGUGUGUAAUGUUGUGCCUCAGUUUCCCUAGAUUGUCAUCUUUAUUUAUCUUUGUAUUUUUAUGUUUGCCAAAUACCAAUCUGUUCUGUGAUAACUGUUUCUAAGAUAGUUGAUGGAAGCAAUUUUUAUGGUAUGAACUUAUUGCAAUCAAUGGUAUUAUCCUGUUGCUGCUAUGUCUAUCCUGUAUAAUUACAUUAGUAACCAGAAUAGUUCAGUGGUCCCUAUCAAAAUAUUGCAUACAGAAGAUGCUAUUAAAAUGAUAAUUCUUCAGAGAAAAGACUGGAAUGUAUUAAAGAGGGAUGAUCUUGAUUGUGAACUUGAUAAACAAUGUAUAUAUAGAUAUACUAACUGAUUUUGAACAGUGUGUAAGUUCUUCAUAGAAAUAUGAUAAAAAUCAUUUACAUAUUAGAAGGGGGGAGCUGUGGGGAAUAGAUAAGGUGAAGAAUUUACAGGAAUGUAUGAAUUCUUUUUCUGUAUUUUAUUAUUUCUGUGUCUCCCCUAUGACCUGUAUAAUAUGUGCAGGCUCAUAUCUAUUUGAGCCUUGGCCAGCUAGAAACAUAUUUACUUAACCUGAACUGAUGACAUUUAUUGGUAUUUGACAUUUAUCAAUAUUUAGUCUAUUAGCUGGACCACUGUCUGCUUGAUUAAGCCUGAAGGCCUGACUUUGUUUCCCAGAAAUCAGGAGAUUUCAGGGAAACAGAAACCUUCCAUUCCAAUCUCCCCAAAUAGCAACAACCAAUUAGAUGCUUCCCCCUCCCCUUUCAAUGCUCUCUUACUUGUGAUGUAAUUUCUUGUAUAAAAGCUAUGUAUCUUUACUACUUCUUUAGCCCUCCUACCGCGAGCUUAUCUUGCGAUGGGACGGCUCAUCCUCCGGAGGUUUUUCAAUAAAUAACUUUUCUGCCUUC